CUUUCUUUCUUUCUGUUGCUAAUGGAGAGUAAAACAUGAAUAUUCUCCUCGCCAAUAUCAAUUGUGCUCUUGAUAGUAUAAUCAAUAUAUAUAUAUAUAAAGGAGAAACAAGACAAGGAUGAUGUGCGUGUUCAAAUUGACCUGUUUCAAGGGCAAAUGAUAUGGCGAUAUUGUGAUUAAAGAGUUUUGAAAGAAGAAGAUCAAAGGAUGGCACACAGAAAAUGGAGUUUGUUAACUAGCCUCGCUGCUAUUCUUGGCGGAAUCAUCGGUACCAUUGUCAUUGUCAAUUUCAUCUUCGUCCUAAAUGAUCCAUCCAAGUAAAAAUACUAGAUGUGUGAUUCUCUGAUUUAAGAUUGUGAUGUUUGCUCCACCUUUUUCGCAAGAUUGUAUGCAAAUAAUUUUAGUGAAUAUAACAAGCCUUCUGAAUCUAAACAAAUAGUGGAAUAUUGUUCAGAAAAACAAGAAGUAUUCUUUG